AGAGUUUGAUCCUGGCUCAGGACGAACGCUGGCGGCGUGCUUAAUACAUGCAAGUCGAACGGAAAGGCCCUUCGGGGUACUCGAGUGGCGAACGGGUGAGUAACACGUGGGUGAUCUGCCCUGCACUUUGGGAUAAGCCUGGGAAACUGGGUCUAAUACCGAAUAUGACCAUGCGCCUCCUGGUGUGUGGUGGAAAGCUUUUGCGGUGUGGGAUGGGCCCGCGGCCUAUCAGCUUGUUGGUGGGGUAAUGGCCUACCAAGGCGACGACGGGUAGCCGGCCUGAGAGGGUGACCGGCCACACUGGGACUGAGAUACGGCCCAGACUCCUACGGGAGGCAGCAGUGGGGAAUAUUGCACAAUGGGCGCAAGCCUGAUGCAGCGACGCCGCGUGAGGGAUGACGGCCUUCGGGUUGUAAACCUCUUUCAGCACAGACGAAGCGCAAGUGACGGUAUGUGCAGAAGAAGGACCGGCCAACUACGUGCCAGCAGCCGCGGUAAUACGUAGGGUCCGAGCGUUGUCCGGAAUUACUGGGCGUAAAGAGCUCGUAGGUGGUUUGUCGCGUUGUUCGUGAAAACUCACAGCUUAACUGUGGGCGUGCGGGCGAUACGGGCAGACUUGAGUACUGCAGGGGAGACUGGAAUUCCUGGUGUAGCGGUGGAAUGCGCAGAUAUCAGGAGGAACACCGGUGGCGAAGGCGGGUCUCUGGGCAGUAACUGACGCUGAGGAGCGAAAGCGUGGGGAGCGAACAGGAUUAGAUACCCUGGUAGUCCAA
rnacentral:rRNA from 1 species